UACGAAGGGGGCUAGCGUUGCUCGGAAUCACUGGGCUUAAAGGGCGCGUAGGCGGUCCGACAAGUCAGGGGUGAAAUCUUGCAGCUUAACUGUAAAAGUGCCUUUGAUACUGUCGGUCUUGAGGGAGAUAGGGGUGUGCGGAACUUCCAGUGGAGCGGUGAAAUGCGUUGAUAUUGGAAGGAACGCCGGAGGCGAAAGCGGCGCACUGGAUCUCUUCUGACGCUGAGGCGCGAAAGCUAGGGGAGCAAACGGG
rnacentral:rRNA from 1 species